UAAAACAACUGACUCAGAACUGAAGCGGACAAGGGGAAUCCGACUGUUUAAUAAAAACAUAGCUUUGUGAUGGCCUGAAAAGGUGUUGACACAAAGUGAUUUCUGCCCAGUGCUUUGAACGUGAAUAUGAAGUAAUUUGUAGAAGCUCAGGUAAACGGCGGGAGUAACUAUGACUCUCUUAAGGUAGCCAAAUGCCUCGUCAUCUAAUUAGUGACGCGCAUGAAUGGAUCAAUGAGAUUCCCACUGUCCCUAUUUACUAUUUUAGCGAACCCACAGUCAAGGGAACGGGCUUGAAAUAAUCAGCGGGGAAAGAAGACCCUGUUGAGCUUGACUCUAGUCCGACUUUGUGAAAUAGACUAACGAAGUUUAGCCUUAGGUGGGAGCCAACGCGCCAAUGAAAACAAC
rnacentral:rRNA from 1 species